UACGAAGGGGGCUAGCGUUGCUCGGAAUCACUGGGCGUAAAGCGCACGUAGGCGGACUCUUAAGUCAGGGGUGAAAUCCUGGAGCUCAACUCCAGAACUGCCUUUGAUACUGGGAGUCUUGAGUUCGGGAGAGGUGAGUGGAACUGCGAGUGUAGAGGUGAAAUUCGUAGAUAUUCGCAAGAACACCGGUGGCGAAGGCGGCAUCCUGGACCGGUAUUGACGCUGAUGCGCGAAAGCCAGGGGAGCAAACGGG
rnacentral:rRNA from 1 species